GACGAACGCUGGCGGCGUGCCUAAUACAUGCAAGUAGAACGCACAGUUUAUACCGUAGCUUGCUACACCAUAAACUGUGAGUUGCGAACGGGUGAGUAACGCGUAGGUAACCUGCCUGGUAGCGGGGGAUAACUAUUGGAAACGAUAGCUAAUACCGCAUAAUAUUAAUUAUUGCAUGAUAAUUGAUUGAAAGAUGCAAUUGCAUCACUACCAGAUGGACCUGCGUUGUAUUAGCUAGUAGGUGAGGUAACGGCUCACCUAGGCGACGAUACAUAGCCGACCUGAGAGGGUGAUCGGCCACACUGGGACUGAGACACGGCCCAGACUCCUACGGGAGGCAGCAGUAGGGAAUCUUCGGCAAUAGACGAAAGUCUGACCGAGCAACGCCGCGUGAGUGAAGAAGGUUUUCGGAUCGUAAAGCUCUGUUGUAAGAGAAGAACGGGUGUGAGAGUGGAAAGUUCACACUGUGACGGUAUCUUACCAGAAAGGGACGGCUAACUACGUG
rnacentral:rRNA from 1 species